CAUUAUAUGUGGUUUUUGUCAACUCCCAGUUACAAUUAACGUAACGAGAGAAUGACGGAAGCUUGCAUCCGAACCGCCGUAGAAGCAAUACACUCCUCUCCAUACCAAACCGUUCUCUAUCUCGCUGGCGGAGCUUCUCAGAUUCUGGGUUUGUUACUUUCUGUUCCUGGUGCUUCCAAUACUGUUCUUGAAGCCGUUGUUCCUUAUUCUAGAAUGUCUCUGAUUCAGUUACUGGCCAAGAUUCCAUUGCAUUUUUGUAGUCAACAGACUGCUGACGAUAUGGCUUUAUUGGCUUAUAACCGUGCUCUUAAGCUCUCCUCUCCAGGAUCCCCAGUUAUUGGUGUGGGCUUCACUGGUUCUUUGGCUAGCGGUCGUCCAAAACAUGGGGAACACAGAUUUUAUAUGUCAACAAGGACAGCUGAUCGACUUUGGAUAUCAAAGGUGACCUUGACUAAGGGGCUUCGUACUCGAGAAGAAGAAGACAGAGUUUCUAGUCAUCUUUUGCUCAAGGCUAUUGCAAAUGCAUGCAAGGUUCCUUCAAAUGAUAUUCCGGAGUUAAGUGAAUCAGAUGUAUCCGAUGAAUGUGUAAAGCAAUUUAAUGAAGAUCAAGAGUUAGAGCAACUUAUAAAUGGUCAAAUAUGCUUCAAGAUUUAUCCAUUUAGAAGUGAGAUACCAGCAGAAAGGAAAAUAAUACUGCCUGGUUCUUUCAAUCCUUUACAUGAUGGGCAUAUCAAGCUCAUGGAAGUUGCAACCCGCAUCUGCGGUGAUGGGUAUCCAUGUUUUGAACUAUCUGCGGUCAACGCAGACAAACCUCCAUUAUCAGUGUCUCAGAUCAAAGACCGCGUCAACCAAUUUGAAAAAGUUGGACAGACAGUAAUUAUAUCCAAUCAGCCUUAUUUUUAUAAGAAGGCUGAACUAUUUCCCGGCAGUGCUUUUGUAAUUGGUGCUGACACAGCAGUGAGGCUUAUUAAUCAUUCUAUUUUGAGAUAAUGUGAUUCAAAUACACAGUGAGAUGAUGGAAAGUGGGCCAAUAGAUCCAAAAAGAGAUCAUAGAAUGUCAUCGGUGGUGGAAAUUGUUGAAGAGUUGUGCUUGGCAAAGAGUUAGCAAAUCUUAGGAACGGAUCCCUUCAUCCUAAAUACUAUGAUGGGGACUACAAUAAGAUGCUGAAGAUACUUGGUGGUUGUAAAGAAACAGGAUGCACCUUCCUUGUGGCUGGUCGGAAUGUAGAUGGUGCAUUUAAGGUUCUUGAUGAUUUGAAUGUUCCUGAAGAACUAAAAGACAUGUUCAUCUCCAUUCCAGCUGAACAGUUCCGCAUGGAUAUAUCCUCUACUGAGAUUAGAAAAAAAAGUGGGACGUAGAUAUUUUUAUGGCUGAAGGUCAAUAUAUUAUAGUGAAGGGUGAAAUCGCUUCCUUCAUGAAGCACAGAUCCGCAUUAUAAAAGUGGCGACCUUGUUCCUAUACAUUUUAAAACAAUCGCAGGAGGUACAGUUUUCUGAUCCAAGGUUUUAUGUUCAUCGAACUAUCCUUUUCAUUAUAGUUUCAAAGAGGAGUCAUGUGUGUGCCUGACACUUAUUGAAUACUCAUGCACAAAUAUAAGGACAUGUCCAUUCUUGAAUUUUAGUAUAUUAAUAUCAUGAUGUAUUUUAAAAUAAAUCGAAUGCACCAAUUGAAUUAAAUGAACACUCUUGUUGGGAUUUGUUAACUGGUGUGGUCUACUUUCAAAGGGAAAAAAAAUUGAGUCAUGUUGCCAAAUUGUGGUAACUUUUAUUCUGGGAAUAUUUUUUAUAAA